CAGUAGCCGCGGUAAUACGUAGGGUGCAAGCGUUAAUCGGAAUUACUGGGCGUAAAGCGUGCGCAGGCGGUUUUGUAAGACAGAGGUGAAAUCCCCGGGCUCAACCUGGGAACUGCCUUUGUGACUGCAAGGCUGGAGUGCGGCAGAGGGGGAUGGAAUUCCGCGUGUAGCAGUGAAAUGCGUAGAUAUGCGGAGGAACACCGAUGGCGAAGGCAAUCCCCUGGGCCUGCACUGACGCUCAUGCACGAAAGCGUGGGGAGCAAACAGGAUUAGAUACCCCAGUAGUCCCUGUCUCUUAUAC
rnacentral:rRNA from 1 species